UCUAAAAUAAAUAAUAUUUAUUUUUUAUAAUAAUAUUGUAUAUCCAAUUAACUAUUUUGGAAAUUAGUACCAAUAAAUAAUGUUUAAAUAUUGAAAUAAUAUAUUAAUUCUAAUCAAUAUUAUUAAUAUAUAUAUA
rnacentral:misc_RNA from 1 species